rnacentral:lncRNA from 10 species
CAGAGUCUUGCUCUGUCACCCAGGCUGGAGUGCAGUAGUGUAAUCUUGGCUCACUGCAAACUCUGCCUCCGGGGUUCAAAUGAUUCUCGUGCCUCAGCCUCCCAAGUAGUUGGGAUUACAGGCAUGCGCCACUGUGCCUAGCUAAUUUUUUUACUUUUAGUAGAGAUGGGGUUUCGCAUGUUGGUCAGGCUGGUCUCGAAUUCCUGGCCUCAAGUGAUCUCCCACCUCGGCCUCCCAAAGUGCUGGGAUUAUAGGUGUGAGUCACCGCGCCCAGCCGAAAGACGAAUACCUUUAAAUCUCCACCAGCAUAAACCAUUUCAUUGAAGGGCUGUCUCCAGGUUGAAGCCAUUCCUAUUUGGGGGUUUGCUGAAACACAUCAAUCAUACAGAAACAGUGGAAAGGCCAAAUUAUUAAGAAAACAAAAUGUCCUUCAGCAUUUUGGAAGAGCCGUUUCAGGAGGAUCGAUCUGUUCCUUUUGAAGGCCAGAUACUCCCAUGGAGCACCAGGAAGCAGGGCCCAAGCACCCCUGCGUGCAGGAAAAAGCCAGGCCCACUCAGGUGUGCGGCCCGGCACAACGGCCCAUGGUCUGGAGGCCUGGGAGCUGGCCAUCCAACCCCUUGGGGUCUCAGACUCACCAUCUGUUAGCCGGGGGUCAUUAUCCUGGACCAGCCUGUGUCCUGGGACCAUCACGAGGAUGACAAGAAACUGUUGUGGGAAAGUCUAAGUAAAGCAUCAAGUCCUUUACAAGCACGAGGGGGCAUGGGAUAGAGGUUAAGGCUCUUGGGCCAGAGUCCCUGAGUUCAAAUCCCAGCUGCCUCUUCCUAGUUUGCGUGCCCUGGAUGAAGCUAAUUAACUUCUCUUUGCCCUUGUUUCCUCACCCUUAAAAUGAAGGAAAUAAUAAUGCUUACAAUAGCAUUUGGUGCAGUUUAUCCCUCAAUAAGAAACAGCUAUUCUCAGUCUACUAAAUAGUCUUGUUUCUCCUUCAUUCUAUUUUGUUUUGAAUUUAUUUUUUUGAGACGGAGUCUUGAUCUGUCACCCAGGCUGGAGUGCAGUGGCGUAAUCUCCGCUCACUGCAACCUCCACCUCCUGGGUUCAAGUGACUCUCCUGCAUUAGCCUCCUAAGUAGCUGGAAUUACAGGCGUGUGCCACCAUGCCUGGCUAACUUUUUUUGUAUUUUUAGAGAGACAGGGUUUCACCAGCAUGUGGCCAAGCUGUUCUCAAAUUCCUGACUUUAAGUGAUCCUCCUGCCUUGGCCUCCCAAAAUGCUAGGAUUAUAGGCGUGGGCCACUGCGCCCAGCUUGCUUGUCCUUUAGACCUUUAAGUUAUGUGCUAAAUAUAAAAAUGGCUUCUUCUAUUAUGAAUCACAUUUGUAGCUUAUUUUUAGUAGCAUGGAAUCAGAAAUAAUUUUUUUCCUCAUCUUAUAUAAUAUUUUUCAAGUUUUAGGUAUUUUAGAUGUGAGUCUCUCUUCUUUUUUUAAAACUAGGUGAAACUUACAUUCAUGGAUCUUAAGUGUAAAAUUCAAUGAGUUUCAAUAAAUGCAUUUCCCUGUAUACCGCCACACAAUCAAGACAUAGAACAUUUCCAUUUGUUCCACAUGUUCUCUCAUGUCCCUUUCCAGUCGAUUUCUAGUCCCUUAGUAACCAGUGCUCUGAUUUCUAGCACCAAAGAUCAGUUUGCCUGUUUUAAACUUCAUAUAAAAGGUAUCCUACAGAAUGUACUUUUUGUGUGUCUGGCUUCUUUUGGUCAAGGUAAUGUUUUUGUGAUUCAUCCAUGUUGUUGCAUAUAUAAGUAAUGUAUUGAUUUUUAUUGUAGAGUAAUAGCCCGUUGCAUGCCUAUACCACAACUUCUUGGUCCAUUUCUCUGUUGAUGAUAAACUUUUGGGUGCUUCUAGGGUUGGGCUAUAUGAGCAAAGUUGCUGUAAACAUUCAUGUGAGUCUUUUUCUGAAAAUAUAAUUUUAUUUCUCUUGAGGAAAUUCCUAAGAACAGAAUGGUUAUGUCACAGGAUAGGUACCCUUAGCUUUAUAAGAAAUUGCUGGCCGGGCGCAAUGGCUCAUGCCUGUAAUCCCAGCACUUUGGGAGGCUGAGGCAGGCAGAUCAUGAGGUCAGGAGAUGGAGACCAUCAUGGCUAACACGGUGAAACCCUGUCUCUACUAAAAAUACAAAAAAAAAAUUAGCCAGGCGUGGUGGUGCGAACCUGUAGUCCCAGCUACUCGGGAGGCUGAAGCAGGAGAAUCGCUUGAACCCGGGAGGCAAAGGUUGCAUUGAACCAAGAUCACACCACUGCACUCCAGCCUGGGUGACAGAACGAGAUGCCAUCCCAAAAAAAAAAAAAAAGAAAAGAAAAGAAAGAAAUCGCCAAAUAGUUUUCUAAGGGGAUUGCAUCAUUUCACACUCUUAUCAGCAAUGUAAAAAAAAUUUCAGUUGUUCCAUCCUCAUCAACAUUUGAUUACUGUCAGACUUUUACAUUUUAGCUAUUUUAGAGCAUGUGAAAUAAUAUCUCUUUGUAAUUUUGAUCUUCAUUUCUCUAAUGACUCAGGAUGUUGAUCACAUUUUCACAUGUUUAUUGGCCAUACGUCUAUCUUAUUCUAUGGAGUGUCUCUUCAAGUCUUUUGCCUACAUAAAAAAUUUCAUAAUUUGUCUUAUUAUUAUUGACUUAUAGGGAUUCUUUAUAUAUUCUGGCUACAAGUCCUUUGUCAGAUAAAUGUGAAUAUUUUCUUCCUGUGUGUGACUUGCCUUCUCUUGCCUUCUUAAAUGUGAUUUUUUUAUGAAUAGGAGUUUUCAAUUUUUUUUACUCUGUGACUAGCCAAAGAGAGUUUCCAAUUUUUAAGAAAUGCAAGUUUUUAGUGAAAUUUAUUUCUUAUGUUUAGUCUUUUAAAAUUUUUCUUUAAGAAACCUUUGCCUAACCCAAGAAUACAAAAAAAGAUGUUCUAUAUUUUCUUCUAGAAGCUUAUAAGUUUUUAAUGUUUAAUUCUAUAAUCCAUCUUACAUUAAUUUUUGUGGAUGGUAUGAGGUAGGAGUUUGAAGUUCAUUUUUUCUCCAUAUAGAUACCUAGUUCUAGAUAUCCAACACCUUGAUUGAAAAUCAAUUGAUUUUAUAUGUACAGAGUUUAUUUCUGGACACUAUUCUGCUCCAUUGGUCUAUAUGUCUAUUCUUAGACCAAUGCCACACUUUCUUAAUUCCUUUAACUUUAUAGUUAGACUUAUAAUUAAAUAUAGUUGACCCUUGAACAACACAGGGAUUAGAGGUACCAGCCCCUCAUAUAGUUGAAAAGCUGCAUAUAAAUUUUGACUCCCCAAAAACUUAGCUACUAAUAGACUACUGUUAACCAGAAGCCUUAAUGAUAACAUAAACAGCCAAUUAACACAUAUUUUGUAUAUGUAUUAUGUACUGUACUUUUACAAUAAAGUAAGCUAGAGAAAAGAAAAUGUUAGGAAAAAAGAUAAGGAAGAGAAACCAUGGCCAGGCGAAGUGGCUCAUGCCUGUAAUCCCAGCACUUUAGGAGGCCGAGGCUGGUGGAUCACUUGAGGUCAGGAGUUCGAGACCAGCCUGACCAACAUGGUGAAACCUCGUCUCUACUGAAAAUACAAAAAUUAGCUGGGAGUGAUGGUGCAUGCCUGUAAUCCCAGCUACUCGGGAGGCUGAGAAAGGAGAAUCGCUUGAACCCGGGAGGUGGAGGUUGCAGUGAGCUGAGAUUGCUCCAUUGCACUCCAGCCUGGGCAACAAGAGUGAAACUCUGUCUCAAAAAGAAAAAAAAAAAAAAUCCACAUAUAAGUGGACCCAUGUUGUUCAGGGGUCAGCUGUGGUGUGAACCCUCCAAUUCUCUUCUCCAUUUUCAAGGCUGCUUUAGCUAUUCUAGAUCAUUUGCAUGUCCACAUAAAUUUUAAAGUAGUUUUCAAUUUCUACAAAAUAGUUUGUUGUGAUUUUUAUUAGGAUUGCAUUCAGUCUAUAGAUCAUUUUGUGGAGAAUUGUCAUCUUAACAAUUAUGAAUCUUCAGUCCAUAAACAUAAUCUAUUUUCUACAUGUUUGGUUUUUUUUUUUUUUUAUUUCUCUCAGCAUUUUGUGUUGUUUUGUUUUUAGGGUGGAAGUCUUUCCUGUCUUUGGUAAAAUUUAUUUUCUUGUGUAUUAAUCAUAUAUCCUGAAAACUUGCUAAAUUCAUUCAUUAAUUGUAGUAGCUUUUUAAUAGAUUCCUUAGGAUUUUCUACAUAACCAAUCAGGUUUUCUGUGAAUAAAGAUAGUUUUACUUCUUCCUUUCCAAUCUGUAGGAGUUGUUUUUACCUUGCCACCUUGUACUGGCUAGAAUUCUAGCACAGUGUUGAACAGAAGUGGUGAGAGUAGAAAACUUUGCCUGACUCAUGAUCUUAAUGUUCAAUAUUUCUGAAUUAAGUAUAAUGUUAGCUGGAUGAUUUUUAUCAGAUUGAGGAAGCUCCUUUUAUUGGUAGUUUGCUGAUAGUUAUUAUCAUGAAUGGGUGUUGAAUUUUGUCAAAUGCAUUUUCUGCAUCUAUUGAUAUAAUCAUGAAUUUUUUCCUUUACUGUGUUAAUAUGGUAAAAUAUUUUGAUUUUCUACUUUUAAAUUAACAUUGCAUUCCUGGGAUAAUACUCACUUGUCAUGAUGUGUUAUUCUUUUCAUAUAUUGCUAUUCAGUUGGCUAAUAUUUUGUUAAGGAUUUUUACAUCUGUGUUCAUGAGAGAUAUUGGGCUGUAAUUUUCUUUUUGUGUAAGGUCUUUGUCAG